CCAGGAUAGAGAAUGAGGUCACAGAAGGCUGGUUAGAACUGAGGAGGCCCUACCAGCAGGCAAAAGUCAGGCCUUGUCCAGCAAUGGAGGUACAUGCACCUCUGCACCAGAUGCUCCUGCCUUUUUCUUUCGUAAUUUUGAAGGACCUCAGCUCCCUGCCUCCUAGAUUUUUGCUACUAUGGUCUCAGAGCUGUGUAAUUUGGAUGACUGAGAUGGAAAAACCUCUGGAAAACCUUUAUUUAUGUUGAAUAAGUAUUCCUUGAAUCCUUCCUCAGCAUCCUGGGUUAUAUUUGAUUUGCUCUGCUCAUGAUAACUUCAUGCCAAGGAGACUGCUAUCAGUUCUCUUAAAACAGAUCCCAACUCCCUGCUCAUAGUGGCCAAAGGAAUGGAGAUUUCAGGCUGAGUUUACUUACGUGCAUCAUCUUCAUCUAUCCAGAAGCAUCCCUGCACAAAACCUCUGUUUCUACCCUUCCAUUCACUCGGCUCACUUUUCUGCUCUUAGUACCCUUUGUUUCUUGUGAACUCUCCAGCAGGAGUGACUUGCAAUUUGUAUCCACUGACACUUAAGUUCUCGGAAGUGCUGGAGAAGUGUAUGGAAGUAAAUUAUCCUGAUGUAUAAUUUUGUGCAUGUGAAACUCAC
rnacentral:lncRNA from 10 species